AAAAAAAAAAAUUUAUAUUUUUGUUAGGGGGAAUUUUUCCCCCAAAAAGGGGAAAAAAGUAUACUUUUCAGGUGGUAUACUUUUCGGCAGCAGAUUUGAUAGAUUGAGGGCCCUGCUGUCUGAUGUAUUCACAUUAGAAGAAUUGGCUAUGUGUAGGGGAUUGGGAAUAGGUAGAGCUAGACCAGGGGAUGAAGAAAAGCCAGUGUUGGAUCAGGAGAAAAUUAAAAUACGAAAGAACAUGUGAAUUCCUGUUGCAAGAAAAAUAUUGGGCAAAACUUUCCAGUUUCUGAAUGACGCAGCUACCAUUUGAAACAUUUGAGACUACAGGAGGAAACAACACGGUUUGGCGGACACCUCUUUUCUGGAGAGUAGCCGGUAAAAAAAAGGCGCUGUGAGGACGGCAUCCGUACGAUCUGUCGUGGAACAGUCCGCAGUCAGUGAGCAUUGGACAUCAUAGUUUGCAGUAGAGCAGGAACAUAGAUGUUGUUUGUUCGCAAGUCGGGAUGGACUUUCCAUGAAGCUGGAAGUCUGAACCGGUCUACAUAGCUGGCCCUAUUCACUCGUGGACGCAACGGCUUAACUGGUGUUUCAGAACCGUCUACGUCACGAAAAAUUUGAGACUACAGGAGGAAACAACACGGUUUGGCGGACACCUCUUUUCUGGAGAGUAGCCGGUAAAAAAAAGAUCCCAGUUUCCGGGUGGAUGCAGAAAACAGGCAUCACCCAACGGGAGAUUUCCGGGUGAGUGAGGCAGAGGCCACCACCAACGACAGUUGGGCAGACAGCUGCCAAUUCUGAGAGAAGGCGGUAUCAGCAACAAGGGCCAACCGGGACGCACCACAACGAGGAUUGUUCUGGCAAGUGUUGGACAUCGCCAGAGGACCGAGGGUCGGGCGAGGGUAAUCUGUGCCGCAGUAAGCAAGAUACGUUGGACGCCGCCAGAGGACCCAAGGUCAGGCGAGAGCAAUCCGUGUCGCGAUGGGGUGGACACAUAGGGCGCCACCAAAGGGUCGAGGACCUAGUGGGAGAGUGGUAUUAUCUGUUGACAGCUGUGACAUUUUUAGUCAGCCAGUGACUUUAUGAUUGUUAUUUUUAUUUAAAAAAAUAUUGGUACAAUAUUAUCUGAUAGCGAUAAGGAUAAACUAACAUGCAUGCUGU